AAAGAAUACGGAUUCUCCGCUUCUCUCUCUCUCUCUCUCUCUCUCCGCCUUCUCCCCCGUAAUACGUAGCAACGAUAAAAAACCGGCUCGUCGAUCUUCUCAUAUAUUUUUACCAUCGGGUCUCUGUUUAACUUCUUCGAGAUGGAGGAGGCUGCAAUAUCCAGUGACUACACGUGCGACUACCUACGCCUGCAUCGAGAAUACGUAAUGAGGAAACCGUUCGAUGACUUUAAGAUGGCCUAUCGUGAUACACGAUUCUUGUAUCGUUAAGUAUUCUAAGCUUGAGUUACCAACGAACAAAGGAUACGUCGUAUUGCUAAAAGUACGAUUCGCAGAUCUCUCCUCUAGCUCCUCCAACGCGUGUGUAUUAGAUUUUAACUUGAUUCUGUUAAAGGAAAGCGAAACUUAUCAAGGGAAACGAUCGAGAGGAGAGAAAAAUCGACGAUCGCUUUUACUUAUAUCGAUCAAAGUCGAAUUAUCUCAAUAAGUAAAACAAGUAUAUUCGGUAAUCGUCGACAAGCUUCUUCGAAUAAACUAUCGAAAAGAUAAAAAACAAAACUUGUAUCGAUAAAAUAUGAAACGUAAACUUUCGAAAGCUUUCUAUGGCAUCUGUAUUUUUUCUCAAGCGUUUUAAAAAUAGAGUAUUCACCCUGCUGUUACGUU